GGGGAAUAUUGGACAAUGGGGGGAACCCUGAUCCAGCCAUGCCGCGUGUGUGAAGAAGGCCUUUUGGUUGUAAAGCACUUUAAGUGGGGAGGAGGCUUACCUGGUUAAUACCUAGGAUAAGUGGACGUUACCCACAGAAUAAGCACCGGCUAACUCUGUGCCAGCAGCCGCGGUAAUACAGAGGGUGCGAGCGUUAAUCGGAUUUACUGGGCGUAAAGCGCGCGUAGGUGGUUAAUUAAGUCAAAUGUGAAAUCCCCGAGCUUAACUUGGGAAUUGCAUUCGAUACUGGUUAGCUAGAGUAUGGGAGAGGAUGGUAGAAUUCCAGGUGUAGCGGUGAAAUGCGUAGAGAUCUGGAGGAAUACCGAUGGCGAAGGCAGCCAUCUGGCCUAAUACUGACACUGAGGUGCGAAAGCAUGGGGAGCAAACAGGA
rnacentral:rRNA from 1 species